GCUGCAAUAGUUUAACAAAACAUUAUCCUGUGGAACUAAAAAUGUGGUGCCACACUCACCACCUGCAGCC
rnacentral:tRNA from 1 species